UGAUCGAGGAAGGCUGCUGUCCCGAAAUUCCACAGCCCGCCGGAGCUUCCUUGAGCUGGUGAAAAUCAGAGUCCCAUUGCGCUCCCGGGGUUCCUCAAAGAUGGUCUCAAAGGUCCUGCCUUCCAAGUGUCUCACCUCCUGGUUGUGGGUGAUUGGUAAUUCUUGUUGGUGUAAAUUUCUUCCAAGCUGAACUCCUUCUUGUUCAACCUGUGAGCAAAGAGCAGAGGCCACUG
rnacentral:lncRNA from 1 species